rnacentral:rRNA from 1 species
AUUGAACGCUGGCGGCAGGCCUAACACAUGCAAGUCGAGCGGCAGCGGGAAAGUAGCUCGCUACUUUUGCCGGCGAGCGGCGGACGGGUGAGUAAUGACUGGGAAAUUGCCCAGUCGAGGGGGAUAACAGUUGGAAACGACUGCUAAUACCGCAUACGCCCUACGGGGGAAAGCAGGGGACCUUCGGGCCUUGCGCGAUUGGAUAUGCCCAGGUGGGAUUAGCUAGUUGGUGAGGUAAUGGCUCACCAAGGCGACGAUCCCUAGCUGGUCUGAGAGGAUGAUCAGCCACACUGGAACUGAGACACGGUCCAGACUCCUACGGGAGGCAGCAGUGGGGAAUAUUGCACAAUGGGGGAAACCCUGAUGCAGCCAUGCCGCGUGUGUGAAGAAGGCCUUCGGGUUGUAAAGCACUUUCAGCGAGGAGGAAAGGUUGAUGCCUAAUACGUAUCAACUGUGACGUUACUCGCAGAAGAAGCACCGGCUAACUCCGUGCCAGCCGCCGCGGUAA